AUGAAGAGUUUGAUCCUGGCUCAGGAUGAACGCUAGCGGCAGGCCUAACACAUGCAAGUCGAGGGGCAGCAUAGAUUGCUUGCAAUCUGAUGGCGACCGGCGCACGGGUGCGUAACGCGUAUGAAACCUACCUAAUACAGGGGGAUAGCCCAGAGAAAUUUGGAUUAAUACCCCAUGGUACUGUGGUCUCGCAUGAGAUUAUAGUUAAAGAUUUAUCGGUAUUAGAUGGUCAUGCGUCCUAUUAGUUAGUUGGUAAGGUAACGGCUUACCAAGACUUCGAUAGGUAGGGGCCCUGAGAGGGGGAUCCCCCACACUGGUACUGAGACACGGACCAGACUCCUACGGGAGGCAGCAGUGAGGAAUAUUGGACAAUGGAGGCAACUCUGAUCCAGCCAUGCCGCGUGAAGGAAGACUGCCCUAUGGGUUGUAAACUUCUUUUAUAGAGGAAGAAACGUGAAUACGUGUAUUCAUUUGACGGUACUCUACGAAUAAGGAUCGGCUAACUCCGUGCCAGCAGCCGCGGUAAUGCGGA
rnacentral:rRNA from 1 species